rnacentral:lncRNA from 1 species
UUUUGACCAAUGAGUUAAUGAUUUGUGGUUAGCCUUGACAUAUGAGAGGCUUAACCUUCUUUGAUCCAAAUCAAAUUCAACUUGAUCAAAGAUCAAGUGAAUUGCUUUGUAUCCAAGAUAGGUUGCUUCUUGGUCAAGCAAAGAACCUGAAAUCCAUACAAGGUCAUUCUUCUUUUCUUUUGGCAUGGCAAGUUGUAGGAGUUUGACUUACUAGUCAUGACAUCUAACUUGUGUUUAUUUUCCUAUAGUUUU